UACCAGCACCCCGAGUGGUCGGGACGAUUAUUGGGCCUAAAGCAUCCGUAGCCGGUUUUACAAGUCCCCCGUUAAAUCCACCUGCUUAACAGAUGGGCUGCGGAAGAUACUAUAGAGCUAGGAGGCGGGAGAGGCAAGCGGUACUCGAUGGGUAGGGGUAAAAUCCGUUGAUCCAUUGAAGACCACCAGUGGCGAAGGCGGCUUGCCAGAACGCGCUCGACGGUGAGGGAUGAAAGCUGGGGGAGCAAACCGG
rnacentral:rRNA from 1 species